CGGAAACUUCCAUCAGGCACACAAUCCGCAAUUUCUUUUUUCAGAAAGGAGCUACGAGAAGGGAAUCUACAAUCUUUUCAUGGAGGCUCUUCUUUCACAGUGCCUCCAUCCAGUGCAGCACCUGACCCACUAUUGUCGUCAUUCAUCAACUUAUCGGUGGCUAACUCAUUGAAAGAUGUACAGUCCGAGUCUUCAGGUGAAGGAG
rnacentral:misc_RNA from 1 species